rnacentral:ncRNA from 1 species
CAAAGUUUUGGUCCUAAACUUAUAGUUAUUUAUUACCAAAUUUACACAUGCUAGUAUCCGCACACCAGUGAGAAUGCCCAUCACCUUACCAAAUCAAACUAAGACUGGAGCUGGUAUCAGGCACAGCAGCCACCAACUGCUAGCCCAAAACACCUUGCAAUUGCCACACCCUCACGGGACCCAGCAGUGAUAAACAUUAAGCCAUGAGCGAUACCCCAUUUAAGCUCGACUCAGUUAUGGUUAUAGGGCCGGUAAACUUCGUGCCAGCCACCGCGGUUAUACGAAGGGCCCAAAAUAACAAUUUUCGGCGUAAAACGUGACUAGAAAUUCACCCCAGAAGCAGAAACCAUCACUUUGAUAUAAAACUCUAAAGCUACAUGGGAAACACCACUAAGCUUCUAAUACCUUUGACUCACGAAAGCUAAGACACAAACUAGGAUUAGAUACCCUACUAUGCUCAGCCAUAAACCUUGAUAUACUACCAUAAAAUAUCCGCCAGAGAACUACGAGUGAAAAACUUGAAACUUAAAGGACUUGACGGUGUUCCACAUCGACCUAGAGGAGCCUGUCCUAUAAACGAUACCCCACGCUAAACCUCACCCCCCCUAGCCCACUCAGCCUAUAUACCGCCGUCGUCAGCUCACCUUAUGAAAGCCAUACCAGUAAGCAAAAUCGUUCAGCACAAAAACGUCAGGUCAAGGUGUAGCUUAUGGGGGGGAAAGAGAUGGGCUACAUUCUCUAAAAUAGAGAUACAAAAAGCACUAUGAAACAGUGACCACAGAUGGAUUUAGAAGUAGACUGGACUAGACAAUCCAAUCGAACCCCGCCCUGGAACGCGUACACACCGCCCGUCACCCUCAUCAACAACCUCUCCACCAAUAAAUAAACCCAACAACAACACUAGAUGAGGCAAGUCGUAACAUGGUAAGCGUACUGGAAAGUGCGCUUGGAAACAA